GCCAAUGUAGUGUAGUGGUUUGUGCAUUGGGCUACAACACCGGGAGACCAGGGUUUGAAUCCCUGCUUGGCA